UCCUUUCAGUGUCUGGUAGCAGGGAUAUUAUGGAGGUAACAAAGACAAAGAAGCACCACUCUACCACAGAAAAUCAUUUCCAUUGUCAGAUUAUUCUUGUUCAACUGGGUUUAACUUUAUUGUAGGGCUAAAUGUAGCUUCUGAAGAUUGGUGAGUAACAAGAUCUUUUAAAAGUUAUGAAUUCCAACAGGAAAAGAACAAGAUCGUAUGCUUUGGGGAAAAUGUCUAAUCUGUUUGACCAUUCAUUUCACAAACUGUAAAACAAUGAUACUAACAACUUUUAUGGCUUUGAGAGAAUCAAUUAAGAUGACAGAAAUUCAUGCUAAAACUGUGACUAUUGUAUGAUUCUGUUGGAAUAAUAUACAUUAGGAAGACAUAGCUCCAGACCUGAAUUUCCUAAAUAUUUGCAACUAAUGUCCUAUUAGUUAACUCAAUUGCACCGGAUCCAAAUCUGAACAAUUCAUCACAUCUUCCUAAAAAAAUUUCUCCUCACUGUCAUACUUUUGAUAAAGGCAUUACCUUUCUUCUAGUUUCUAAGGUCCGGUCCAAAAAUCUUGGAGUUGCCUUUUCUCCUACCCAGACAAUGAUUCCUGAGACUGAGGUAUUUAUCUGAAAGCCAUUGAAAUCACCAGCUUAACAGACCAAAAACAUCAUAAAGAAUGGCACAGGCAUUAAGAGAAAUGAGUUGAUGACAGACCACAAGAUCCCAGGGAGAGAGAAGGAGAGAAAGAGACAAAAGAUGGGUCAGAAGUGGAGAGAUCUUAUAUCCUCAACAAGGAAGGGAGAGAAAGAAGAAAUUCGAUGGAAACAUUCAUCUCUGUGCUGCCUAUGCCAAGAAUUUUAUUCUGAGAGUGGGAUUAUCAGAAUGGUGGUAUUUGAUCCUAUUUUACAACUCUUAUCCUGGGUGGAGCAGGCAUUUAUCGAGCACAUGCUACAUUCCAGAUCUCUUGCAUGGUGGUAGGAAUAUAAAUGAUUUCUUUCUAGUGAACAUGCUCUACCUGUAACCUCUGGAGGGGAGGCUUCAUGUUUGCAUCAUCCUCAUUACACAAAGAAGAAAACAGAAAGACUCACCAAGUGAAGCACUUACCAGCAGCCUCAUGGCUAGUAACAAGACCAAGAUUUCAACCAAGAUUAAAAUGCAUGACUCUGACUAUGCCAUAAGUGAGAGAGUACUGUGUACUUUAUUUGGUCCCUUGUGAAACAGGUAAACUAGUGAUAUGAAUUGAAUAAACAGUAAUUGCACUAUCAUAUUGCAUAUAAUAACUUGAGGCAGAUUUUACAUAAUUUCUAAAACUGGUUAUUGUCAUUUGUUUUUGAAAAAAGACUAACUUUGUCUAAAAUGAUGACCCUUUUUGGCAUGUGUUAUGUAAACAAAUGAUUCUCCAAAUAAUAGCAAUUCGAUAAACUUUAAGUUUCUAUUUUGAAUACAAAGAUGGGAAAAACAGAGAUCCUUCUUUCUCACAAAAUGAGGCUUUGUAGAAAAAAUUAUCUAAAGAGCCAUAAAUCAAAGGAAAAUCAGAAUUUCUUUUUAUUGGAAGCAAUUUGUUUUUUAGAACUAAUCUCGGUACUCUAUAUACAUAAUUUUUCAUUUAAUCUUUAUUACAAUGAAAUUGAUAUCAUGUGAUUUAUCUGAUAAAGAAACUGAUAUGUAAAUCUUGUAAGGUCAAGGAUUUUUACCUGUUUUAUUCAUACCUGUUUGUCUAAUAUCUUAAACUGUAGUAGGCAUAUGGAAGAUUCUCCUUAAAUAUAUUUUGAAUAAAUGGAGAAUUAGAGAUGCUUAUUCAAUUGUCAAGUAAUGCAAUCUAUGAGCAGCAUCUUGGUAUACCAGACAAGUCUAAAUCCAAAUCCUUUAUUUUCUCAUUACACUACACUCUGAGGGGCAGGACUAUGUACAUUUUUCUUGAUUUUAUUAUCAGUAAAUGCACAGAACCUGGCACAUGGUAGGUAAGCAGUGAAUGAUCUUGAAUAAAUAAUCUCAUAAGGUUCUUUCCUAUAUGCAAUAAAUAUCAAAAGAUAUAUUUUAUAAUGUGAUUUGUAAUACUUCUUUUAAAAUUAUUAAAUCAUGUGAAAAAGGUUGAUAGAGAGUAAAUGGGUGUGAUUGUGAUUCAUAUUACCUCAUCGUGAAAUUGAUAUUGUAGAUAUUUGCAUUUUAAACUAAUGUACAUGCUAUCACAUAUCACAGCCUAGCAAGAUUUUCUGAAAUAGAACUGACCUAUGUCUACUUACAGUAACUUUAUUCAUUGAGUCAUACACAUUUACUACUUGGUAAAUUAUUGACCUAUUGAGUCUGCACACUUUAGUGGAGAUAAACCAAUUUUUUUCUCUCUCUCUUUUUGAGGGAUUUCUCUUCCUAGGUCAUUCAAACCAACUUUUAGUGGAAAAAAAACUUUAUUGUCAUUUUAAUUACUUAUAUCAACUAUUUUACUUUCCAGCUUAAUUUUAUUUAGUAAUUGGCAAAAUUUAUGGCAAAAAGUAUGUUUUCCAAAAGUUGUAGGCAAGCUUCACCUUAAGAAAAACAACAGCAUUUAAGCAAGACUGAAAAAAUUUGAGACAUUUUAUACAUGUACACACAAUAUUAUACUUUUAUACAGUCCUGUAAGAGCAGAGUUAUUAUAUGUACUCUUGCUAUAACUUCUGAACUGUUGCUCACAAACUUCUUUCUACUUUUUAAUCAAAAAGCCAUUUUAUUUUUACCCUCCCUCUGCUAGCCCCCUUAUAAUAACAUCCAAACGGUCUUGGGUUGAUAACGCCACCUGGUGGUAGAAAACUGUCUAAGCCAACCAUCUUCUCGCACCGUCUCUUCCCUCUCAGAAUAAUUUUGCUCAACUCACUGUCAUUGUACAUAAUUACUAGACACAGUAAUUAUCUUGCUUUAAUUAAUCUCUUUCUCGCAUGUGUUCAGACAGCCUUUUAAAUCCUCUUACUCUUCCCCCUCUCAAUUGCCUCUACUUCCUCAAGGUACAUGUCUGUUUUCUCCUUCACUCUGUUGCAAUUGAGUUUGAACAAAAACUUUCUGAUGCAUGAUUGACUGGUACAUCAAGAACACUAGUGGUACAAAUGGAUACAAUGAGGUGGAAAACACAAAGUUAAAUAUUUACUUAUGAAUUAUGAAUUUGAUAAAGUACAGCAAAAUUUUUCCUGUCUCUCUUCCUUGUUGGCAGUAAAGUAAUUCUCUUCCUUAAAGAUGACAGAGUCAGUAGUAAUCCACAGACACAUGUAUAGAAAUAUUAUUUUCCUCCACAAAAAAACUGUAGCCUAUUACUCAAACCUUUCUGCAUCUCCUUUCAUUUCCAUGAUGAUGUGUCUUAGUGAUGUUUUCAGAUAGGUACACAGAGGGUUAUCUCAUUCUUUUUAAGGGCUGCAUUAUAUUUUACUGCAUGGCUGUGCCAUCACUUAUGCAACAGAUUCUAUACUGAAGCAUUUGUAGGGAUUUUUUCCUAAUCAUUUACUACUACCGCAAAAAAUGAUGCACUAUCAUUUACUGGUACUACAGAAAAUGAUGCACUAAAUAACACUGUGCCAGUCAACACUAGGGUAGCUGUGCAAUCAAUAUCUAGAAACAGAAUCGUUGAGUUCUAAGGGUAAGGGCAGAAAAUAGUAUGAAAGAUUACAACCCAGUGCCCUAAGUUUUGUGACAAUGUCCAAACACAACUUUUGGACUCUGCAAAAUUAUUUUAUUUACCCUCUUAUAUUUUCCUUAUUGAACUAAUUUUUUCUUAAGCAUGGAGACACACAGCCCCCAUGCCUAAACUUUUGUAAAGUUAGCUACAUGUAAAAUAUGUUAGAGUUUCAAACAAUUGACUCAAAAUCUUUGGAACAGAAUGUACUUAAGAGAUUUCUUGUAGUAGACAUUAUUUUGACUAGUUAUUUAUACAAAAAUUACUCAAUUUGAAAAGUGUACUGUUUAAAAUUAAUAUGAUUUGAUCCCUUUUAAGGUUAGAACAGCUGUUAGUCACAUAAAAAGACUGCAAUAAACUGGUAAAGUGAUGUAUUAUGUUAAAUUACCAUCAUUAAUUAAUUUAUAGGGUAAUUCAAUAGAGAUUAUUUCCUAUUUUAUGUAUCCAAAUAUGGUCAU